AUGGAAGUUAUACAAGAACGGAACAAUGUCCUUGUUCACAUCAGGCAUGUACAUACAUUUAAAUCACUUUAUGCACUAAAACAUACACUUAUGCCACCUCACAGCAAAACUCCAGAUGUGUCAUGUGGUUUAACUGAGACCUGUUCUGAGGAUGACCACUUUAUUGACAGGCACACUGCACAAUUAAAUGUAACCCUUAAGUCAGAUGCCCUUAUAAAGACUGUAACUUUAAUGUUUGCUCUUCACAGAAAAGUUGUAAUUUACAAUCCUGACAUCACCCAGAUGGUAUUUCAAAGGCCAGAUCUUUUUACUGUAAACCAGAGAGCAGCCCGCAAAAUGGAGCGCAGCUGGAGGAAAACAAAACUAGAGGAUGCAGCUAACAAGAAAGACUCCAGUAAGAAUCCUCAGCAUUGAUCAAGAAAGUCCACAGCUAAACCCAUCUAGAGUGGGAAUCAUCUUGGAAGAAAAUUUUGUAAUGGAUGAACUGACCGAUCUCAGGCCUUCUAUUUUUUUAUUUUUUAUUUUUUUCAGACUGAUUUAUGCCCUGCACCUGGACUAGGUGUAUGAAAAGCUCUUUAUAUUUUAUUCAGUAGGUAAUGCUCAACCUCGGAAAAAGUGAGUUUGCACCUAUAAUUCAGUACUGCCAAUAUUGUGAACUCAAGAGUGGAAUAAAACCAUAUAGUUCUGAUGCUGUUUGUUGUAA
ensembl:lncRNA